AGGUUGGCUCAGAAGCAGCCAUCCUUUAAAGAGUGCGUAACAGCUCACUAGUCGAGUGACCCUGCGCCGAAAAUGUACCGGGGCUAAGCCUGAUACCGAAACUGCGGAUUGUAGGAAACUAUAGUGGUAGGGGAGCGUUGUAUACGAGUAGAAGCCGUACCGUGAGGAGCGGUGGAUUGUAUAGAAGUGAGAAUGCCGGUGUGAGUAGCGAGAUGUAGGUGAGAAUCCUACACACCGAAAGCCCAAGGAUUCCAGGGGAAGGUUCGUCCGCCCUGGGUAAGUCGGGACCUAACGCGAGGCCGAAAGGCGUAGUGGAUGGAAAGCAGGCGAAAGAUUCCUGCACCCGUAUAUGGAGCGAAGGAGUGACGGAGACGGAUAGUGUGACCCUCUUAAUGGAUUGAGGGCGAAGCGAAGCGGCUGGUUACCAGGCAAAUCCGGUAACUGAAAGGCUAGAGCGUGACAGGUAAGCGAAAUCUAAGGAAAGUAGCGAAGCACAUGAUGACGGCUUCCAGGAAAAGCUUCUGGCAAUGCAUAUGCGGCCCGUACCAAAACCGACACAGGUGGGCAGGGAGAGAAUCCCGAGGUGAGCGAGAGAACUGUUGCCAAGGAACUCGGCAAAAUGACUCCGUAAGUUAGCGAGAAGGAGUGCUUAAGCAAUUAAGCCGCAGUGAAGAGGCCCAAGCGACUGUUUAACUAAAACACAGCUCUCUGCGAAGUCGCAAGACGAAGUAUAGGGGGUGACACCUGCCCGGUGCUGGAAGGUUAAGAGGAUCUGUUAAGAGCGAUCUGAAGCAGUGAUCCGAAGCCCCAGUGAACGGCGGCCGUAACUAUAACGGUCCUAAGGUAGCGAAAUUCCUUGUCAGGUAAGUUCUGACCCGCACGAAAGGUGUAACGAUUUGGGCGCUGUCUCGGCAGCAGACUCGGUGAAAUCUUAGUACCUGUGAAAAUGCAGGUUACCCGCAACUAGACGGAAAGACCCCAUGGAGCUUUACUGCAGCCUGAUAUUGAAUUCUGGUCAUACAUGUACAGGAUAGGUGGGAGACAAAGAGACGUGCACGCCAGUGUACGAGGAGUCGACGUUGGGAUACCACUCUUGUGUGACCGGGGUUCUAACCUGGUAUCGAGAACAGGUACGGGGAGAGUGUCAGGUGGGCAGUUUGACUGGGGCGGUCGCCUCCCAAAGAGUAACGGAGGCGCCCAAAGGUACGCUCAGAUUGGAUGGAAACCAAUCGACGAGUGCAAUUGCAGAAGCGUGCUUGACUGUGAGACUUACAAGUCGAACAGGGACGAAAGUCGGGAAUAGUGAUCCGGCGGUGCCGAAUGGAAGGGCCGUCGCUCAACGGAUAAAAGCUACCCUGGGGAUAACAGGCUGAUCUCGCCCAAGAGUUCACAUCGACGGCGAGGUUUGGCACCUCGAUGUCGGCUCAUCGCAUCCUGGAGCUGGAUUCGGUUCCAAGGGUUGGGCUGUCCGCCCAUUAAAGCGGUACGCGAGCUGGGUUCAGAACGUCGUGAGACAGUUCGGUCCCUAUCUGUUGUGGGCGAAGGAGAUCUGCGGAGAGCUGUCCUCAGUACGAGAGGACCGGGAUGGACCUACCGCUGGUGCACCGGUUGUUCCGCCAGGGGCAUAGCCGGGUAGCUAAGUAGGGAAAGGAUAAGCGCUGAAAGCAUCUAAGCACGAAGCCUACUCCAAGAUGAGAUCUCCCAUUCGCAAGAAGUAAGACCCCUUAAAGACGAUAAGGUAGAUAGGCCAGGGAUGGAAGUGCAGUGAUGUACGGAGUUGACUGGUACUAAUCGGUCGAGGACUUAAUCAG
rnacentral:rRNA from 1 species